CUCAAUAACAUAUCAGGCUCCAAUGCAUGCUUGAGUCAUUUAACAAGAUUUGUAGAAUAUUUCUAACGCUGUGCAGAUUGAGAUUUGUAAGCCGUUUGUAGAUAAUACUUAUUUCUGUAUUUACAGUUAUAUUUGACAUUCUUUGUGCCAUUUUUGGCAGUCUUUCUGUUUAUAGUUCGUAAUUGAAUGAGUAUUGACGUUUAUAAGAUGUUACCUGGCUUAUUAUUUAUGAAUAACCUUGAAGAGCACCCAUACUUGUGUCAAGAAGAAAUUGGAAUGUAUAUCAGAAAGGGGAACAUAAUCAGCAUUUGUUUUGGGCCAUAGAUUCAAAACAUUUGUUUUUUUCACUCCCUAAAAAGAGACUACGACUUUUUGGGGGGGAUACUGUGCCAUUCCUAUGUUUGGUCAGGAUGUUAAGCCAAUGCAUGCUCUGUAAAUGAGUUAAAGCCAUUAAUGUGUCACAAGAACCAUACAAAGGUCUGGGCUGUAAUUAAUAAGAUUGCAUUAGAAAACUGUGCACGAAGAAUACUAAACAAUACUUAAACACAGCCUAGGCCCUGUAGGCCUACUCCGAUGGUUCUCAAACUCCUGUGUUACAGUGGGUGAAAUUAAGACGGAAAGAGAGAGAGGAUCUGUGCUUACAUUUGCGCCGCAGGGUCAAUCUUUUAUUUGGGAGCAGCUGCAUAAUAAGGUGCCUAACAAUGAUGGGAUAAAUGUAACGAACUGAGGCAGUACUCAUGGAGGAUUUAAGAACCAGACCCUCAGAAGAGAGUGGAGAGAGCUGUGCCAAGCCAUGCUGAGGCUCCAGGCACAAGGAGUCCCUUUAUUCCCAUGCCAACCACAAGACAGUUAUGAAGGAGGAGGAGGAAGAGGAGGUGACAGGUCUAAGCCAGUUCUCGAAGGACAGGAAGAAGCUGAUUGGUUCAUCUCGAAACUCAAAAAGUAGGAGAGGGAAGGGGGGAUUAUUUUAUUAUACAAGAGUGCUUGUUUGACAUACUUGGGAUUUCCAUUUAAGCGACAAUCAAGGAAACUAUUUGAAGAUUAGAUUUAAAACGUAGAUUCAGCCUACAUUAUUUCACAGCAGGCACAUUUAGUAUAUGCUUGACAAAAUAUUUGUUAAGACAAGUGGCCUCAUCAUUCUUUAUUGAUAGAAAGAAGAUUAAGGCUUUUUAUGUCACACAAAAUAUAUUUUUUAUGAAUUAGAAAGGCCCUAAUCGUUGUCACAUGGUUGGCCUAUUUUUACUUUAAGCCUAUUGUCCCAGCUUUAGCAGUUUGUAUUCGCUUAAAAACAUUAUUCAUAUGUAUGUGACGUUUUUAUUUUUUAUUUUAAAGUACAGCAGCUCUCCAGUUCAGCCUAGAGAUGGCAGCACAAGCCUUCAAAAAUAUAGCUUCAAACAAACACUCAGGGUGUCAAACUUAUGCUUCUGAGAAAAUAAUAGAUAUAUUUAUGCAUAUAUGUGUGUACAUAUUAGUAAGUAUACAUAUAUUUGAUGGAUAAACAAUAACCAUACACUUGUAUUGAUCGUUAAAACAGUGCAUUUAAUGACAUGGGAUGGGUACUACUGGAAACAUUGAUUAUAAGUGAUAAGUGGAAAACCAUUCAAACAAACACAAUCUGUGAUUCUGUGUUAACUGUUUGUGUAUAACUCUAUUUAGACAUAAUAAAUAUAACUCUUGUACACUUGGAUCUCUGUGGCUUCUUCAUUUCUGGGGUAACACUCUCACACACACUCACACACACCCUAACUCACACA